CGGAUUCUCAUCUUUCUUUUCUUAUUAGUCUCUAUGGUAACUCUCAACGGGGACCUGAUGUGAACACUAAACAGCCUCCGAGACGGCGACAAAAAUCCACCUGUGGACCAAAUGUGAAGACAGUGACCCCCGUGGAGCUAACGACUAAGGACUCUACAAGGGGAAGGUCAGCUUUCGCAUAUUAGUUUUCAAAGUUCACAAUCCAGCAGCACUAAAGGCUGAUAUGACCCAACAGACACAAAAGAGGUUUCCAUUACACCCCAAAGAAAAAAGGGAUGGUUUUCUUGUGGAGCUUCUCUCUGGUUAGGUAGAUUUCAGGUACGUCUAAUAUCCGUGUAUCAGUCGACUGACGGUGCACUCACUGUGCCAUCAGCUGAUUCCUAACCUCAGGGCUUUCAUUCUGAUUAUGCAUGUUCAAAAUUGCAUGUCAUACUGUAUAAUGUGAAGAACUGAAAUACGCACAAGUCAGCCAUGGCUUUAUGAUCAUUUGAACUCUGAUGCAAUUUAAUACAGCAGCUCCGCCUGAAGCUUCAUUUUAACGAAGUGUCUAUGCCUUCAGUUUUACUGACUCAUUGGAAAGGUUGUACCCAAGUACUGAUAUCUCAAGGUUUGGUGACUUAACUCCAGGACUGAAUGGGUAUUUACCACCACAGUAUCAGUUUCUGUCUCAAAUUAUUCAGUGUUUCUUGGUGUGUUGUUCAAAGAACUAAUUUAGCUCAAUGUUACAGUCCUCACUUCUUUCCUUUGAUUCCAGUUUUAAUUUGCCGGGCACGCUCACUGCCUUUUCCCACCUGACAGAGAUGACAAUGAAAGCACCUUGGUCAAAAUAAGAAUCAAAGCUCGCUCUGGCUCACAGCCUGAUGUCUCACUGUUUAUAGCUCCUCUGAGGACUGAGCGACCAGAAAUCAGAGCAAGACUCGACUCGCCGAG